rnacentral:misc_RNA from 1 species
CCGCUAUACAACAAUGGUAAAGGUGGUCCUAAUAGGCCGAGAUCAGACUGAAUGAUUUUUUACUGUAUGCCUUGAAUUUUGGCAUACUUUUCCUCGACCAUAUAAUCGGUGAGCUUUCCAUUUCAUAUAUGAAGCCUGCCAUUCUAAUUUUGGUUUCUCCAUGGUCAUUUGAAUCUGAAAUGGAGAAGAGGUGGAGGAUGUGAUGAAUUGCCCGGCG